ensembl:lncRNA
UCUCUCUCUCCACUCUGUCUCUUCUAUUUUCUCUCUCUCCUCUGUCUUCUCCUCUUGUCUAUCUCUCUCUCCCCUCUCCUCUCUUUCUCUCUCUCUUCCUCCCUCUCUUCUCCCUCUUCUUCUCUCUCUUCCUCCCUCUUCUUCUCUCUCUCUCAUGUCUCUUCUGCUCUCUUCCCUCUCUUCCUCUCCCUCUCUCUUAUCUCUCUCUCUCUCUCUCUCUCUCGCUCUCUUCUCUCUCUCUCUCUCUCCUCUUCACUCACUCUCUGCCUCUCCUCUUCUCUCUCUAUCGCUGUAAAAGUGCCACCAGUGGCACCACUCCACCCUGCAGAUUGCCCCUCCCUCACAGUACAGGUGGCACCCUCCACAGAAGCAUUACUCACACACCUUCCCCCACUUUAUCCCCCUUUUCUCUCCUCCCUCUCUCCUCCCCUUCUCCUGGUGUAUAACAGUCAGCCCAGACAAUUGUGGGCUCAGUCUAGUCAACUAGAGAGAGAGAGAGAGAGAAUACAGCACAAGACCUCUGGAGUAUCACUGGCAACGGGACGUUUCUUCACACUUUCUUCCACACACACAGACUCGGAAGCGGCAGCAUGUUGGUGAACAGGGUCUGGCAUGUGGUGUGUGUGCUCUGCUGUGUGUGUGUGAACGCAGAGGAAUAUGAAGUGAACUACGCAGACAACUACGAAAAGGAGACACAGGACCAACAGGACGGGGACUCCCCUGUGACUACCUGCCAGGCUACAGACCUCUCUCGCUGGAACAAACUCUUCGUGGCUCUGGAGGACUCCCACCAGAGGGAUAUGAUGCUGAUGGAAGCCCUGGAGCAACGCUGUGGAGCCCCGGGAGUCUGCCAGCAGUGCCUGCCCGCCAUCGAGGCAGUUUGCCGGGGGCAGACAGAGCAGGCGAGCCCCAGGCUCCAUCAAGGCCUAGUGGAGCUGAAGGAGGAGGUAACAGAGCGAGAGGGGAGGAUGAAUUCUUCACUACAGCAGAUCAAACAGGAGGGAGCAGAAAGUUAUGGGAGGAUGAUGGCUGUGUUACAUCAUCUCCUUCAGAACAGCAAAGAGCAGAACCAUAGACUACAUCGAUUGGAGGAGAGUAAGCUGACAGGGGAGGUGACAGAAGGGGCUGGAUCUAUAGGAGCCGGGCAUAGAGAAGCAGAGCCAAUCAGGACAGGGCAUAAAGAGAAUGGGUUGGGUUUGGGGGAGGGGCUUAGUCGGAGAGGUGGACCAAUAGGGACGAAGCCUGGCAGUAUAGGGGCGGGUCUCGGACUGGGUUUGGGCAUGAAGCUGUUCUCGUCAAGCACAAAGAAACAGUUAGGGACAUCAUCGCCAUCAUCGGACCCGGGAAAGAUUGAGCGGCCUCUGGUUGCUAUAGCGAUGGAAAUGCAGAAGGUGCAGACCCAGCUGGGCCUAAUAUCCUCUGUAGGGAACUAAGGAUGAAAAAAUACAAGGAGAAAUUAAAGGAAGGAUAUCUGAUGGAUAUUGUCCUCUAUCAGGGACUGAAUUAAAACUAAAAUAUAAACUUAUUGAAAUGUUGCACACUAACAUAUCACCUCUUUAUACAUUAGUAAAGCAAAACAAUCGCCUUGAAAUAUGUUUAGUAUUCUUUUUUAAUUCUGUAUAAUUCAAGGAAAUGCUCUGUGACUAAUUGUCUAAGUGAUGAAUAAAGAUUUGUUAAACUUUUUAAUUGGUGGAAAGGGUUCCUCCUGUCUCAAGUUAUACACCCACCA